rnacentral:rRNA from 1 species
UACGUAGGUGGCAAGCGUUGUCCGGAUUUACUGGGCGUAAAGGGCGUGCAGGCGGUUUGUUAAGUCUAGGGUGAAAGCUCCCGGCUCAACUGGGAGAGGUCCUUGGAUACUGGCAGACUUGAGGAGGGUAGAGGAGAGUGGAAUUCCCGGUGUAGUGGUGAUAUGCGUAGAUAUCGGGAGGAGCACCAGUGGCGAAGGCGACUACCUGGCCCAUUCUUGACGCUCAGGUGCGAAAGCUAGGGGAGCGAACGGG